UACGUAGGGGGCUAGCGUUGUCCGGAAUCAUUGGGCGUAAAGAGCGUGUAGGCGGUCCGGUAAGUCCGCUGUGAAAGUCGGGGGCUCAACCCUCGAAUGCCGGUGGAUACUGUCGGGCUAGAGUGCGGAAGAGGCGAGUGGAAUUCCUGGUGUAGCGGUGAAAUGCGCAGAUAUCAGGAGGAACACCUAUUGCGAAGGCAGCUCGCUGGGACGUUACUGACGCUGAGACGCGAAAGCGUCGGGAGCAAACAGG
rnacentral:rRNA from 1 species